UACGAAGGUGGCAAGCGUUGUCCGGAAUUAUUGGGCGUAAAGCGCGCGCAGGCGGUCCUUUAAGUCUGAUGUGAAAGCCCACGGCUCAACCGUGGAGGGUCAUUGGAAACUGGGGGACUUGAGUACAGAAGAGAAGAGUGGAAUUUCACGUGUAGCGGUGAAAUGCGUAGAGAUGUGGAGGAACACCAGUGGCGAAGGCGACGCUUUGGACUGUAACUGACGCUGAGGCGCGAAAGCGUGGGGAGCAAACAGG
rnacentral:rRNA from 1 species